GAAGCUGACGCGAGUAUUCCAGGCCUGCUAAGCCCAGGAAGCCGUGGUUUAACUCCAUGGGAGCUUCG
rnacentral:tRNA from 1 species